ACACCCCCCACUUUCCCCUGCAAUGGUAUGAUCUGCAUUUGAUCGUAAACUGGAGGUGCCAAGCUGUGACAGCUUCCUCAACUUCAGAGCCAUUUGCCACAAUCUAGGACAGCCCCAUGUUCAAUGAUGCUUUCCUUUUCCAUCAACAGGGGCAAAUCGAAGUAGACAGCGAAACCAUCUUCAAGUUAGCAGCGUUUAUUUUACAGUGAUGAAAAUGCCAGGAAAGAUUUAAAGACAUUACCAGCCUUUCCAACCAAAACUCUUCAGGAGCAUCCAUCCCUUGCCUACUGUGAGGACAGGGUAAUUGAGCAUUAUUUGAAAAUCAAAGGUCUCACUCGAGGUCAAGCUGUGGUUCAGUAUAUGAAAAUAGUAGAAGCUCUACCGACUUACGGUGUCCAUUAUUAUGCAGUAAAGGAUAAGCAAGGACUUCCUUGGUGGCUUGGAAUAAGCUAUAAGGGAAUUGGCCAAUAUGAUAUACAAGACAAGGUGAAGCCUCGGAAGUUAUUCCAAUGGAAACAGCUGGAGAACUUAUAUUUCCGUGAGAAAAAAU
rnacentral:sRNA from 1 species